GACGAGGGGUCCUAGCGUUGUUCGGAAUCACUGGGCGUAAAGCGUAUGUAGGCGGCUUUCUAAGUCGGUUGUGAAAUCCCAUGGCUUAACCAUGGAAUUGCAUUCGAAACUGGAGAGCUUGAGUGUGGGAGAGAUUGGUAGAAUACCUGGUGUAGUGGUGAAAUACGUAGAUAUCAGGUGGAAUACCGGUGGCGAAGGCGGCCAAUUGGCCCAACACUGACGCUGAGAUACGAAAGCGUGGGGAGCGAACAGG
rnacentral:rRNA from 1 species